GAUGAACGCUGGCGGCGUGCCUAAUACAUGCAAGUCGAGCGAACGGACGAGAAGCUUGCUUUUCUGAUGUUAGCGGCGGACGGGUGAGUAACACGUGGAUAACCUACCUAUAAGACUGGGAUAACUUCGGGAAACCGGAGCUAAUAUCGGAUAAUAUUUUGAACCGCAUGGUUCAAAAGUGAAAGACGGUCUUGCUGUCACUUAUAGAUGGAUCCGCGCUGCAUUAGCUAGUUGGUAAGGUAACGGCUUACCAAGGCAACGAUGCAUAGCCGACCUGAGAGGGUGAUCGGCCACACUGGAACUGAGACACGGUCCAGACUCCUACGGGAGGCAGCAGUAGGGAAUCUUCCGCAAUGGGCGAAAGCCUGACGGAGCAGCGCCGCGUGAGUGAUGAAGGUCUUCGGAUCGUAAAACUCUGUUAUUAGGGAAGAACAUAUGUGUAAGUAACUGUGCACAUCUUGACGGUACCUAAUCAGAAAGCCACGGCUAACUACGUG
rnacentral:rRNA from 1 species